GAAUGCUGACAUAAGUAACGAUAAAGCGGGUGAAAAGCCCGCUCGCCGGAAGACCAAGGGUUCCUGUCCAACGUUAAUCGGGGCAGGGUGAGUCGACCCCUAAGGCGAGGCCGAAAGGCGUAGUCGAUGGGAAACGGGUUAAUAUUCCCGUACUUGGUGUUACUGCGAAGGGGGGACGGAGAAGGCUAUGUUGGCCGGGCGACGGUUGUCCCGGUUUAAGCGUGUAGGUGUGUGUUCCAGGUAAAUCCGGUUCACUUUAACACUGAGGCGUGACGACGAGGCACUACGGUGCUGAAGCAACAAAUGCCCUGCUUCCAGGAAAAGCCUCUAAGCAUCAGGUAACAUCAAAUCGUACCCCAAACCGACACAGGUGGUCAGGUA
rnacentral:rRNA from 2 species